CUUUACUUCGCGGACCAGCAGCAGCAUUUCCCGCAGCCGGUAGACGUUAAGCGGCAGCAGGAUCAUGUGCAGCACCAUCACCGGAUAGUGAUGAUGAACCACUGAAAAUCCGAUGAGCAGAACGUUGGUGAGAAUGCCGAAGAUGCGAAGCGGGAUCAUCGUCCGCAUGGUGUAUCCGGCCACCACAAACGCGGACGCGAUAAAGCCGCCGGCGCCGGAAACGAGUCCUGACAUAUCCAUCGGAAUCAACCUGAUGCUAAAGGAAAUCUGGUAUCAAUUAUGCCGCGCCGCGCCUUAUGCGACAACGGUUCCGGCGUGGUGGUUCGCAAGUCCGCAUGGUAUCCGGCGCGCCCCGACAGCGGACCUGCGAACCAAAACCACACCAAAAUCAUAUAUUCUUCCGGUGUCCCUUAAAAUUCGACGUUCGUAACGAACGUGCUGUAAAAUGAAGCGAAC
rnacentral:misc_RNA from 1 species